rnacentral:rRNA from 1 species
GAUGAACGCUGGCGGCGUGCCUAAUACAUGCAAGUCGAGCGAACAGACGAGGAGCUUGCUCCUCUGACGUUAGCGGCGGACGGGUUAGUAACACGUGGAUAACCUACCUAUAAGACUGGGAUAACUUCGGGAAACCGGAGCUAAUACCGGAUAAUAUAUUGAACCGCAUGGUCCACUAGUGAAAGACGGUUUUGCUGUCACUUAUAGAUGGAUCCGCGCCGCAUUAGCUAGUUGGUAAGGUAACGGCUUACCAAGGCAACGAUGCGUAGCCGACCUGAGAGGGUGAGCGGCCACACUGGAACUGAGAAACGGUCCAGACUCCUACGGGAGGCAGCAGUAGGGAAUCUUCCGCAAUGGGCGAAAGCCUGACGGAGCAACGCCGCGUGAGUGAUGAAGGUCUUCGGAUCGUAAAACUCUGUUAUUAGGGAAGAACAAAUGUGUAAGUAACUAUGCACGUCUUGACGGUACCUAAUCAGAAAGCCACGGCUAACUACGUG